AGCAUUGUGACAAAAGCCAGGUGAGGGAAUAAUGGACUAAGAAUUAAGAACUGAUUCCCACAGUGUCACCUCCCACAGCUCAAGACAAAAGGGGAACUCAGAAAGUUGUUAUAAACACAACUUUUCACAUCAGUGUCAGAAAGACAGAGAACUCCAAACUCAUUUUUUGGCAUCAAUAAUAUAAUAGUUUAUUAAUUCUGUGCAGCAGCAGGAGUUAAUUGGCUGGGGAUAAAUUAUGAACACAGCAGGAAGCAGUGGAGAUCCGUGUUCCUUCACUCACAAUAUUAAUCCAGAGCAAGAUUAAAGCCAUUUCCAUGGGAUUCAUGGCUCCUGCUUUCUCGAAAGACAAGUGAGAGAACACUGCCUUUCACCCCGAGGAUAUUUGGGGUGAUUCAUGCUGCCCAUACAUCUCCUGGAUGCCUCCGUGCCCCGAUGGAUCUCUGUUAUUGCUGGGCAAUAACACAGAGCUGCGGUGGCAAAACGUCCCCUGUGUGCUCCACAGAGCUCCAGCUCCAUCUGUCCCGAGCCUGCUGCCAUCAUUUACAUCAACAAACACGAGAACAUGGCAAAUCACUCUGCCAUCACCACACCAGCCUCCAGGAGACUUCCAACAGCCAGACUUUCCUGCCAUGACUCCAUGUGGGCUCACACAAAGUGGCUCAUCCCGUGGAUCAUUCCCUGUCACUUCUCUCCCCGGCAGCUCCUGGGAAGGAUCAGAUGUAAGACCUUGUUUCCCACUCGUCAUUCAAGAGUUCCUGCAGUCUCUCCCUCACCUUUCCUACUGCCCUGCCUUCCCUCUGGACUUCACUGGUGGCCUCUCAUGUGCCCAGAGGUGAGCAGGUUCUACCCCAAGGAUCCAAGUGCAGCAAUGAAUCUUUGGGUUUGCAUUUCUUUUUAAUCUCACACCUGCAAAGAGGGGGCUUUUAGGCAUGAGAUCCAAGCUCCAGCCACUGACACAACCAGAGGAGCUGCUACAGUCCAAUUCAAAGACUUCUGCCCAAGCUGACAGCAAGUUUGUUUUACUCCCCCCCUAAACCCAGCAAUCAGAGCACUUUAUCUUCCCCUGCACGACUGCAGAUUGAAACUAAAGGGGAGAUUGAAAAGGAGAUGCUUGUACCACAUAACCACUGACCUUCCCAAAGAACUCUAAUGCCUGAAACAUUCUAAAAUUUGAUUUGAAUCAAUCCAAUCUCACCUCAGCACAAGGCAAUCCCUAUAUCUGGAAAAGGCUGCCAGGAGGAGGAACAAGCCUGAGCCAGCCUGGCAGGAUUUUGAUUACAGGAGAGUAGAUACCACUUCUCCUUAAUGGGAUUGAUUAAAAGCUUUAACUGUGUUAUCCUUUACACGAGGGCACUUUUAUCUCAGGGUUUGCUGGGGAUUUUUUCCCCCUCAGGGUGCAGGUUCAUCACUGCUGCUGGUGCUGAUGGGUGUCACAUGUUCUGGGUGGCACCGGGGUCACGGAGAGGACAAAAAUCCUUUUACCCUCAAGCUGGGAAUGGCUUUGUCCUCUUAAUAGAGUGUGUGUAGUGUCUAAGGAGAGUCUUGCAGGACAGUGGAGAGAAUCCUGAAGCUCUGUGGGGAUUUAGGGUGAGUCUUGCAGGUUUUUACGUGUAAAACUGGACAACCUUCUUUUCCUGCCCCUGUUUCCCCCUGGGCUGUUUGUACCCUUCACAACAGGAAUCAAAUCUUACCAGUGAUUCGGGUGUUAAUUAGUGCAGGUCUGGGUCUUUCCAGCAUCUCCACCUUCCAAGGGGAGGCUGGACCUGCAGCCUUUGGAGCUCUGCAGCACAGGUACAAUUAUCCCCCACAACUGCACAGUGCCCUCCAUGGAAGCUCUGUGUGAUGCCCAGUUUAACCUCCCAGUACAGAACCAGCAACAGGGAUUUCCACAGGCCCUUCCCAGUGGCUGCAAAAUGCCCUGGUGUACAUGGACCCUAAACUUGCUUCCCAGGAAGUGGUGACCC